AAUCAACGCUGGCGGCGUGCCUAACACAUGCAAGUCGAACGAGAAAGUGGAGCAAUCCAUGAGUAAAGUGGCGACCGGGUGAGUAACACGUGACUAACCUACCUUCGAGUGGGGGAUAACCUCGGGAAACCGGGGCUAAUACCGCAUAACAUCUUUGAAGUGGAAAUUUCGAAGAUCAAAGGAGCAAUUCGCUGGAAGAGGGGGUCGCGGCUGAUUAGCUAGUUGGUGGGGUAGCGGCCCACCAAGGCUUAGAUCGGUAGCCGGCCUGAGAGGGCGCACGGCCACACUGGAACUGAAACACGGUCCAGACUCCUACGGGAGGCAGCAGUGGGGAAUUUUGCGCAAUGGGGGAAACCCUGACGCAGCAACGCCGCGUGGAGGAUGAAGUCCCUUGGGACGUAAACUCCUUUCGACCCGGACGAUAAUGACGGUACGGGUGGAAGAAGCCCCGGCUAACUUCGUGCCAGCCGCCGCUGUAAC
rnacentral:rRNA from 1 species